GGCGCCCCUGUUUUAACUUAUUUUUAAGAGAUUUGAAAACUUCCUGAACCUGACUUCUUUUCACUGAAAAUAGAUUGGAUGCAACUGAUGAGAAGGUAAAGGCAUCACACAGUCUAAGUCUCUGGGUUGUUUAUGUGUUUUCUUUAGCAAAUACAAGACAAAUCCUCAUUAAGAACUACCACUAACGUAGCAACAACUCUUUCCAGGCGGGAUGAGCUCUUGCUUGUAAGAGAGAGAACUCCUCGGCAAGGUUUCACAUUUAUGAGACAUAUAAUAAUAUCCCUUGUUUCGAAGCCAGAAAAGAGCCAGGCUAUUCUGUACUCAGCCUCCAAGCUACCGGGCAUCAGCACUCCAAUGAAACACUCCUCCAGAAGAAGAUUAGGACACUGUGAAAGGACACAGGGAGAACACAGCCAUCGCAAGCCAAGAAGAGAGGCCACAGAAGAAACCAACUCGGCUGACACCUUCAUCUCUGACUUCCAGCCUCCAGAGCUGUGAGGAAAUGAGCUGUUUCAUCCACCCAGCAAGCCUAGGAGCCACCUUCAAAGUGGACGCCCGGUCCCAGUCGAGCCUUCAGAUGACUGUGCCUCCUGAGAGACCUAGAGCCAGCACCGUCCAGCUAAGCGCCUCCGAGUUUCCUGGCCCACACAAAGUGGGAAGUAUUAAUAAAGGUUUGUUCUUGUUUUAAGUCACUACA